rnacentral:misc_RNA from 1 species
GACUAUUUGACCCUUGAAAGCUUAAAGGCUAUAAAACAAUUGGCCAUCGAUUUUUUCAUUGAUCAUUCAAGAUGGUGGCUUUUUUUGUCUUUUAGGGCCUUUUAGCUUUCCGUAGAAGUAUGUAUUUUGAAAAACAGCCCUCGGUGGCGUUUUAUGCGUGAUUAUUCGACUGUCCUUCCAGGCGGAGUGUGAAGGAGGAUGAGAUGGGCGGCAGCGCUGCUUGACUUCGUCUCGCUCUUCCAAUAGCUUUAGGGUUUGUUUUUGUGGGCCUUGGGCUAGACUUAUAUUGUAGAGUUUUUUUCAGGCCUCUUUUUUUCUACUCUGUGUUUUU